GAUGAAGAACGUAGCGAAAUGCGAUAAGUAAUGUGAAUUGCAGAAUUCAGUGAAUCAUCGAAUCUUUGAACGCACCUUGCGCCUUUUGGUAUUCCGAAAGGCACACCUGUUUGAGCGUCAUGAAUACCUCAAUCUCCAUCUUUUCUUCGGAUUGAUGGGUGACUUGGAUGUUGAGCCCUGCUGGUAUGCUAUAUCAGCUGGCUUUAAACUUAUUAGCCGGCUCUGUACUGGAUCGGUUUGACUCGACGUGAUAAUAUUAUCGUUGAGGAUGCAUGUCUCAUGCAGGCGGAAAGUAUCAAAGCAGCUUCUAGCUUGCCUUUAGUGCACUUUUACAUUUUAGACCUCAGAUCAGGUGGGACUACCCGCUGAACUUAAGCAUAUCAAUAAGCGGAGGA
rnacentral:misc_RNA from 1 species